rnacentral:lncRNA from 1 species
UCCCUUUGUUUCUCUGUCAGCUGAGUCUGAAUGGGCUUCCUCUCCCACUCGUCCCUACUUCUCAUCUCUUUAAUGGAUGACACACAUCGCUGAAGGUCACAGUGAAGUCUCAAACUUCAGUAUGUGGAUUGAUUACGUGGCACCAUUUUACAGUCUCACUUGAUUACCCCCUUUCUUUAAAAAUUACUUCCUUCCUCCUCCCACCGUCGGGGCCGCUGCUCACCAGUGUCUGUAUUGGUAGGUCCUCGUCUUCUUCCUGUCCCCCAUCUGCUUUCCACCCGCCCUUACUCUGGGGUGAUCUC